UCACGGGGCAUGCCUUAGUACGGCGAGUGAAGCGGCAAAAGCUCAAAUUUGAAAUCGGCCACCAGGUCGAGUUGUAAUUUGUAGAUUGUAUCUUGAGAGCGGAUUAAAGUCUGUUGGAACACAGCGCCUUAGAGGGUGACAGCCCCGUAAAAUCUAUUCUCAUUGUAAGAUACUUUCGAAGAGUCGAGUUGUUUGGGAAUGCAGCUCUAAGUGGGAGGUAAAUUCCUUCUAAAGCUAAAUAUUGACGAGAGACCGAUAGCGAACAAGUACUGUGAAGGAAAGAUGAAAAGCACUUUGAAAAGAGAGUGAAAAAGUACGUGAAAUUGUUAAAAGGGAAGGGUAUUGAAUCAGACUUGGUGCUGUUGUUCAACUGUGUUUCGGCAUAGUGUACUCAGCAGUACUAGGCCAAGGUGGGGUGUUUGGGAGUGAAAAAGAAGUUGGAACGUAACUCUUCGGAGUGUUAUAGCCUACUUUCAUAGCUCCUCAGGCGCCUCAGGACUGCGCUUCGGCAAGGACCUUGGCAUAAUGAUUCUAUACCGCCCGUCUUAACACCCGGGACCAAAAUUUUUACCCACCUUGCACCCCCGCUCCCAUCCCUCCUACGUA
rnacentral:rRNA from 1 species